UACGUAGGGACCGAGCGUUGUCCGGAAUCAUUGGGCGUAAAGCGCGUGUAGGCGGCCCGGUAAGUCCGCUGUGAAAGUCGGGGGCUCAACCCUCGGAUGCCGGUGGAUACUGUCGGGCUAGAGUGCGGGAGAGGCGAGUGGAAUUCCUGGUGUAGCGGUGAAAUGCGCAGAUAUCAGGAGGAACACCAAUUGCGAAGGCAGCUCGCUGGAACGUUACUGACGCUGAGACGCGAAAGCGUGGGGAGCGAACAGG
rnacentral:rRNA from 1 species